rnacentral:rRNA from 1 species
GACGAACGCUGGCGGCGUGCUUAACACAUGCAAGUCGAACGGAGAUCUAGAGGAAGCUUGCGAAUCUAGAUCUUAGUGGCGGACGGGUGAGUAACGCGUGGGUAACCAACCCAUAACACUGGGACAACCCUGGGAAACUGGGGCUAAUACCGGAUAACUUCUUAGGAAGGCAUCUUCUAAAGAAGAAAGGCGGCCUCUUGAAAAAGCUGCUGGUUAUGGACGGGCCCGCGUCUGAUUAGCUAGUUGGUAGGGUAACGGCCUACCAAGGCGACGAUCAGUAGCCGGCCUGAGAGGGUGGCCGGCCACACUGGGACUGAGACACGGCCCAGACUCCUACGGGGGGCAGCAGUAGGGAAUUUUCGGCAAUGGGCGAAAGCCUGACCGAGCGACGCCGCGUGAGGGACGAAGGCCUUCGGGUUGUAAACCUCUGUCUGGGGGGAUGGAGAACGGACGGUACCCCGGAGGAAGCCCCGGCUAACUACGUG